GCUCGACUUGGCCGCACGUUUACUCAAAUUGGAAUGAUACAGAGAAGGUUAGCAUGGCCCCUGCACAAGGAUGACACGCAAAUUUGUGAAGUGCUCCAUAUUUAA
ensembl:snRNA U6 U6 spliceosomal RNA